rnacentral:lncRNA from 1 species
CAAAGCUGAAUUUAUAGUAUCAUUACUCCAGUAUAGUGUCACAUGAUCCUAAAGAAAUCACUCUAAUAUGAUGAUUUGCUGCUCAAGAAACAUUUGAUUAAUAUUAUCAAAGUUCAAAACAAUUGUUCUGCUUGUGUGUGUGUGUGUGUGUGUGUGUGUGUGUGUGUGUGUGUGUGUGUGUGUGUGUGUGUGUGUGUAGUAACGUAACGUACGACGAAAAGAACAGGAUUUAUUCAAAAUAUGAAUCUUUUCUAACAAUGUAGAUCUUUGCUAUCACUUCUUAACAAUUUAACACAUCCUUGCUGAAUAAAAGCUUUAAUUUCUUUCAAAAAAAGAAAAUAGGAAUUUACCGACCCCAAACACAGUAGUAUAUAUUCUUAGAAAAGAUUUCUAUUUUAAAUAAAUGCUGUUCUUUUUAACUUUUUAUUAAUCAAAGAAUCCUGAAAAAACGCUUCCACACAGCUUCCAAAAAAAUAUUUGGCUGUUGCCAACAUUGAUAAUUCUAAUAAUAAAUCAGCAUAUUAGAAUGAUUUCUGAAGGAUCAUGUGACACUUUAUACUGGAGUCAUGAUGCUGGAAAUUCAGCUUAGCAUCACAGAUAUAAAUUAUAUUUUAACGGAUAUUUAAAUAGAAACCAUUACUUUAUAUUCUAAUAACAUUUUGCAAGAUUACAAUUUUUUUCUUUUUGCAUUUUUGAUCAAAUAAAUGCAGCCUUGAUGAGCAGAAGAGACUUCUUUAAAAAAAAAACAUUACAAGUCUUACUGAUCCCAAACUUUUGAACGGUAGUGUAUAUGUCUUGCAAACUGUCUCAUACCAAAUGUUCUUUUUCCAGAUGAAACUCAGGUGAUGAGUACGUUUCGAAAUUGUCUGCAGGCUAUCUUCCCUGUUUGUGGUGAUCUUUUGCUUGGAGAAACUAAGAUAAGGCGUCAGCUUCUGUCUGAAGUUAACGUGCCAAAAGGAGCUCGUGUUGCAGUGAGCAAUGACCGGCACGAUCUCGAGCCUUCACCUGUGGAAGAAAUUAGAAAACGACGAGAUGCUUUACUGGACAAAGAGUUUACUUACAAACUCUUCACACACAACUGUGAGCACUUUGCCACAUUUGUCCGCUCCGGUAAAGCUAUGUGCAAUCAGAUUCCCGGGAAGCCCAAAAACAAGGAAUGUGUGGAAUCUACGCAAUUAUUUAGCUACCUUGUGCCAUCGAGUUAACCUACAGAAUACUCCAGAUUUUCACAAUAUUAAUAUAUUAUGUUUGAUUAAUGAUGUUUCUCACACACUCAUUAAUUCCUGUUUGAUGUCAUGGAAAAGGGUUCUUCACUGAUCUGUAAUAGUACUGUAUAUAUUAGUGGUUCCUCACUUUCUUCAGUGUGCCUGGAGGUCUUGUUUUGUCUCCCAGCCUUGUCAAGCUAUAGUAAAGGUGUUCACAUGUUUAUGACUGUCCUUUUCACAUUUCCAACUAAAAUGGCACAUACUAUUACUAAUAUUACCAGUUUACACCACAGUUACAAAAACACCAUUAAAUUGCUUGACAAGUGCAGAUUUCUUUCCUGUGCUAAUGCAAUGUCUAUUACAAAAGAAAUUCUGGGAAAUAUCUAAGAGUUCAUCUUUUUUAAAUAGCCAACACCCAGCAGACACAGAACAUUCCCCUAAUGUUAGCAUAUGGUUCCGGUUUAAUUAUUAGCCUAUGCUGAAAAAAUAAUACAAUAAAACAGAGGCAACCUAAGUAAACAUUUAGUGCUGUGAAAGAUUAAUCUCCAGUUAUCAGAAGUGUUUGGUUGCAGUUGUUGCUGUUUGCAGGUUUUUUUUAAUAAAUCGAUAAAAAUAGAAACUGUAUGUGUUGCCUUUGUUGCAUCUAAAACUAUUUAAUAUAAAAUAUGCACAAAAAGAGACAAAUAAAGAUAGGGGCAAAUACAUUUUCACAGCAGUGUACCAUGUACGUCAUAUAUGAUCACGAAACGAGGACAUUUUGAGGUUUGUGUUAGAUUUUUAGGAUUAUUUAUGUUGAAAACAUUUAUUGUAACCCACAAACAUGUGAUUUGCUACUUAUUAGUGAGCUGCAGGUGACUGUUUUAGCAGAAUAGACCAUAAGUUUUAAGUAUAUCUGCUAAAAGUGAAUUUUCUGUAAAAAAAUUCAAAUUAAAAUCAAUUUUGAUUUUAUUGACUUCAAAUCAUCCAAGUGGAGAGAAAGAAAUUAAGCAAAAUGAUUAUUUAAGCUUUUUACAGGGUUUAAAAUUAGCCAAUUUUUAUUAAGCUUUUACAUUAGCAAUAAUGAUUAGGAAGCUAGUUGUAUUUUGGAUGAAACCACUGAUCUAUAAUAUAUCAUAUAUAGAUCAGUGGAUGAAACUCUGGUUACCAUGGUGAUUAGGUAAAGGGGAAAUGCACUGUUGUGUUUUUUUUUUUUUAUCAGUAAAAAAUAAAUAUUUAUAUUCUAUACAAAGAUCUAUUCUG